rnacentral:rRNA from 1 species
AGUGAACGCUGGCGGUAGGCCUAACACAUGCAAGUCGAACGGCAGCACAGUAAGAGCUUGCUCUUACGGGUGGCGAGUGGCGGACGGGUGAGGAAUACAUAGGAAUCUACUUUUUCGUGGGGGAUAACGUAGGGAAACUUACGCUAAUACCGAAUACGAUCUACGGGUGAAAGCAGGGGAUCUUCGGACCUUGCGCGAUUGAAUGAGACGAUGUCGGAUUAGCUAGUUGGCGGGGUAAAGGCACACCAAGGCGACGAUCCGUAGCUGGUCUGAGAGGAUGAUCAGCCACACUGGAACUGAGACACGGUCCAGACUCCUACGGGAGGCAGCAGUGGGGAAUAUUGGACAAUGGGCGCAAGCCUGAUCCAGCCAUACCGCGUGAGUGAAGAAGGCCUUCGGGUUGUAAAGCCCUUUUGUUGGGAAAGAAAAGCAGCAGGUUAAUACCCCGCUGUUCUGACGGUACCCAAAGAAUAAGCACCGGCUAACUUCGUG